UACAGGGGUCUCAAGUGUUGUUCGGAUUCAUUGGGCGUAAAGGGUGCGUAGGCGGCGCGGUAAGUCGGGUGUGAAAUCUCGGAGCUUAACUCCGAAACUGCAUUCGAUACUGCCGUGCUUGAGGACUGGAGAGGAGACUGGAAUUUACGGUGUAGCGGUGAAAUGCGUAGAUAUCGAGAGGAACACCGGUGGCGAAGGCGGUUCUCUGGGCAUGAUCUGACGCUGAGGAGCGAAAGUGUGGGGAGCGAACAGG
rnacentral:rRNA from 1 species